rnacentral:rRNA from 1 species
GAUGAACGCUGGCGGCGUGCCUAAUACAUGCAAGUCGAGCGAACGGACGAGAAGCUUGCUUUUCUGAUGUUAGCGGCGGACGGGUGAGUAACACGUGGAUAACCUACCUAUAAGACUGGGAUAACUUCGGGAAACCGGAGCUAAUACCGGAUAAUAUUUUGAACCGCAUGGUUCAAAAGUGAAAGACGGUCUUGCUGUCACUUAUAGAUGGAUCCGCGCUGCAUUAGCUAGUUGGUAAGGUAACGGCUUACCAAGGCAACGAUGCAUAGCCGACCUGAGAGGGUGAUCGGCCACACUGGAACUGAGACAAGGUCCAGACUCCUACGGGAGGCAGCAGUAGGGAAUCUUCCGCAAUGGGCGAAAGCCUGACGGAGCAACGCCGCGUGAGUGAUGAAGGUCUUCGGAUCGUAAAACUCUGUUAUUAGGGAAGAACAUAUGUGUAAGUAACUGUGCACAUCUUGACGGUACCUAAUCAGAAAGCCACGGCUAACUACGUG